UGACUAUGAUGAGAACCUAUCACAAUCAGUUCUGCUUAUGAAGGAUCUUGAUUAUACCCCAAAUACCAAAACAAAACAUCUGAUGG
rfam:Anopheles culicifacies strain species A-37_1 cont1.770, whole genome shotgun sequence.